rnacentral:rRNA from 1 species
AACGAACGCUGGCGGCAGGCCUAACACAUGCAAGUCGAACGCUCCGCAAGGGGAGUGGCGCACGGGUGAGUAACACGUGGGAACCUACCUUCUGGUACGGAACAACCAAGGGAAACUUUGGCUAAGACCGUAUACGACCUCCGGGUGAAAGAUUGAUCGCCGGAAGAGGGGCCCGCGUCCGAUUAGGUAGUUGGUGAGGUAACGGCUCACCAAGCCUUCGAUCGGUAGCUGGUCUGAGAGGAUGACCAGCCACACUGGGACUGAGACACGGCCCAGACUCCUACGGGAGGCAGCAGGUGGGGAAUAUUGGACAAGUGGGCGCAAGCCUGAUCCAGCCAUGCCGCGUGAGUGAUGAAGG